AAGAGAAGACCAAAACCCUAUCUCUAGAGACAUCAACAUUUCAGGGCAAUAGGGAUCCACCAAGACAUUUUAAGCAGAGGGCUGAUAUGAUUAAAUUUACAUCUUGGACUGAUCACCCUGGCAACAGAGAGAGGCUGUUGCAUUAAUGCAAGUGUCGUUUUGGAUCCUUGGCACUGAAUGCACAGCCCUAUAUCUAGU